GACGUAGGGCGCAAGCGUUGUCCGGAUUUAUUGGGCGUAAAGAGCUCGUAGGCGGUUUGUUGCGUCUAUCGUGAAAACCUGCAGCUUAACUGUGGGCUUGCGGUGGAUACGGGCAGACUUGAGUUCGGUAGGGGAGACUGGAAUUCCUGGUGUAGCGGUGAAAUGCGCAGAUAUCAGGAGGAACACCGGUGGCGAAGGCGGGUCUCUGGGCCGAUACUGACGCUGAGGAGCGAAAGCGUGGGGAGCGAACAGG
rnacentral:rRNA from 1 species